rnacentral:sRNA from 1 species
AAUGGAUGGUACCGCCAGUGCCAAGGACAGCAAACGCUCUGUGCUGGGCCCGUCGCACAGCAGGACCAAGAACCCAGACUGGAGCUGCUUUUUUUUUUGGAAACAACAGGCUUUCCUCGGGGCACAGCCUGUCACUCGCCUGGAAAAUGGGUGGGCGUGGGCUUCAGGGCGGGGGUCAGGCUGUGUGUGGGAACCAGUGAGCUCCUCCAAGAGCAGCACUUAUUUUUAGUCUUCUCCCCAGUCCCAAGUAAACUGAGAGCAGCUGGGAGCCCUGGGUAAAUGCAGAGUGAAGCAGAGACAGGAAAUCGGGGCUCUCAGUAAUGAGUUCCAGCCACUCCAGAAGGGGGAAGCCAGACAAGGAAUUUUCUUGAGGACUGUUUCCCUCUGGCAGGCUCCGGUAUUAUCACUGAGAAUGGUCCCGUGUGUGUGUGCGUGUGUGUCGUGUUUACAACUUCUGUCCAAGUCUUCUGUCUUUUUUCUCUACCUUUGUGUGACAUUUGAUUUCUCCGCAGGGCUCUGAAUCCCAGUCCUGGUGCGUGUGCGUGCAUGUAUGUGCGCGUGUGUGUGUGUGUGUGUGUGUGUGUGUAUGUGUGUUUGUUGGGGUGGUCGGGGAGGACACUGAAGCAGCACGGUCUGCUCUGUGUCGCUGUGUGUCUGAAACUGUCUAGGGAGAGGCUGAAGGACGCAGGCCAGGGAAGUGGGGGAAUUUGAACACAGCUUGGAGUUCUUGAGUGGGGAGGGGGCAGAGGCAAGGAAGAGGAGAGAACUGGUCUCCAGCCAGGAAAAGGGCUUUUUCCACCAAGGCAUCUAACUGCUGACAUGGGUGCCCAGCAUGGAUGGGGACAUUGAUGUUUACAAGCAUUUCUCGUGGCUGAAGAGGUCCCAGGUAAACCACCACAGUGCUGCUAGUAAUGAAACCUACCAGGAACGCUUGGCACGUCUAGAAGGGGAUAAGGAGUCCCUCAUAUUGCAGGAGCUGCUAAGCCGCACAUCUCUUGAGACCCAGAAGCUCGAUCUGAUGACUGAAGUGUCUGAGCUGAAGCUCAAGCUGGUUGGCAUGGAGAAGGAGCAGAGAGAGCAGGAGGAGAAGCAGAGAAAAGCAGAGCUCACAGUAACACUGUGUGUGUCACCAUAUAACUGCACCUCACCCCCACACGUGUGCAUGACUGGCAGAGAAUAUUCCAGCAAUUGUGUACCCCUGGGCCAGUCUCUCUUUGAACCCUGAGGGUGGCCAGGAUCUGGAGCUGCAUCUCUAAGGGGCCAGGCUUUGGGGACCAUUGCCAAAGGUGGACUCAGGAGGAAAGACACUUAAAGACACUUUUACAUGUCUAGUAAUUCUUGAUGUUCAUCUUCAGCACCAGUGGAAACACAUGAACUUCGAUGCAGGUCCAGAGACCAUGGACACUCCCACGAGGCUCAGCUCUCAGGCACCCCCUACACUUCAGUUGAGGGAAAAGCUCAAGUGCCUUAGGCCCAUGGGCCACAGUCUUGGCUGAGAUCAAAGGGAUGAGCAACAGGGACUUCUGCCACAGUGACAAUGGAAUUGUGCUGUGCCUUACUUCAGAGGUGGUCUCUUCUUUCUUGUAAUAAAAGCAAUAUUUAUGCGG